GUAGGGUGCGAGCGUUAAUCGGAAUUACUGGGGCGUAAAGCGUGCGCAGGCGGUUAUGUAAGACAGAUGUGAAAUCCCCCGGGGCUCAACCUGGGAACUGCAUUUGUGACUGCAUGGCUAGAGUACGGUAGAGGGGGAUGGAAUUCCGCGUGUAGCAGUGAAAUGCGUAGAUAUGCGGAGGAACACCGAUGGCGAAGGCAAUCCCCUGGACCUGUACUGACGCUCAUGCACGAAAGCGUGGGGAGCAAACAGGAUUAGAUACCCUGGUAGUCCACGCCCUAAACGAUGUCAACUGGUUGUUGGGAAUUAGUUUUCUCAGUAACGAAGCUAACGCGUGAAGUUGACCGCCUGGGGAGUACGGCCGCAAGGUUG
rnacentral:rRNA from 1 species